GUCAUCUGGGAAUCUUGUUAAAACACAAACUUUGGUUUAGUAGGUCUGGAGUGAGACCUGAGAUUCUGCAUUUCUAACAAGCUCCCAAGUGAUGCAAA
rnacentral:pre_miRNA from 1 species